rnacentral:rRNA from 1 species
CACUCCUGCGGGAGGCAGCAGUGGGGAAUUUUGGACAAUGGGCGAAAGCCUGAUCCAGCAAUGCCGCGUGAGUGAAGAAGGCCUUCGGGUUGUAAAGCUCUUUUGUCAGGGAAGAAACGGUGAAAGCUAAUAUCUUUUGCUAAUGACGGUACCUGAAGAAUAAGCACCGGCUAACUACGUGCCAGCAGCCGCGGUAAUACGUAGGGUGCAAGCGUUAAUCGGAAUUACUGGGCGUAAAGCGUGCGCAGGCGGUUUUGUAAGUCUGAUGUGAAAUCCCCGGGCUCAACCUGGGAAUUGCAUUGGAGACUGCAAGGCUAGAAUCUGGCAGAGGGGGGUAGAAUUCCACGUGUAGCAGUGAAAUGCGUAGAUAUGUGGAGGAACACCGAUGGCGAAGGCAGCCCCCUGGGUCAAGAUUGGCGCUCAUGCACGAAAGCGUGGGGAGCAAACAGGAUUAGAAACCCGUGUAGUCCCA